GACGAACGCUGGCGGCGUGCUUAACACAUGCAAGUCGAACGGAAAGGCCCUGCUUGCAGGGUACUCGAGUGGCGAACGGGUGAGUAACACGUGGGUGAUCUGCCCUGCACUUCGGGAUAAGCCUGGGAAACUGGGUCUAAUACCGGAUAGGAGCCAUUUUUAGUGUGAUGGUUGGAAAGUUUUUUCGGUGUAGGAUGAGCUCGCGGCCUAUCAGCUUGUUGGUGGGGUAAUGGCCUACCAAGGCGGCGACGGGUAGCCGGCCUGAGAGGGUGGACGGCCACAUUGGGACUGAGAGACGGCCCAGACUCCUACGGGAGGCAGCAGUGGGGAAGAUUGCACAAUGGGCGCAAGCCUGAUGCAGCGACGCCGCGUGGGGGAUGACGGCCUUCGGGUUGUAAACUCCUUUCGCUAGGGACGAAGCUUUUUGUGACGGUACCUAGAGAAGAAGCACCGGCUAACUACGUG
rnacentral:rRNA from 1 species